AUAAACGCUAGCGGCAGGCCUAACACAUGCAAGUCGAGGGGCAGCGGAAGAAGUAGCUUGCUACUUCUGCCGGCGACCGGCGCACGGGUGCGUAACGCGUAUGCAACCUACCUUUAACAGGGGGAUAAUCCGAAGAAAUUUGGUCUAAUACCCCAUAAUAUUUCAGAAGGCAUCUUUUGAGGUUGAAAACUCCGGUGGUUAAAGAUGGGCAUGCGUUGUAUUAGCUAGAUGGUGAGGUAACGGCUCACCAUUGCGAUGAUACAUAGGGGGACUGAGAGGUUUUCCCCCCACACUGGUACUGAGACACGGACCAGACUCCUACGGGAGGCAGCAGUGAGGAAUAUUGGUCAAUGGACGCAAGUCUGAACCAGCCAUGCCGCGUGCAGGAUGAAGGUGCUAUGCAUUGUAAACUGCUUUUGUACGAGGGUAAAUUCAGAUACGUGUAUCUGUUUGAAAGUAUCGUACGAAUAAGGAUCGGCUAACUCCGUGCCAGCAGCCGCGGUAAUACGGAGGAUCCGAGCGUUAUCCGGAUUUAUUGGGUUUAAAGGGUGCGUAGGCGGUUUGAUAAGUUAGAGGUGAAAGCUCGAUGCUCAACAUCGAAAUUGCCUCUGAUACUGUCAGACUAGAGUGUAGUUGCGGAAGGCGGAAUGUGUGGUGUAGCGGUGAAAUGCUUAGAUAUCACACAGAACACCGAUUGCGAAGGCAGCUUUCCAAGCUAUUACUGACGCUGAGGCACGAAAGCGUGGGUAGCGAACAGGAUUAGAUACCCUGGUAGUCCACGCCGUAAACGAUGAUAACUCGUUGCCGGCGAUAUAGUGUCGGUGACUAAGCGAAAGCGAUAAGUUAUCCACCUGGGGAGUACGUUCGCAAGAAUGAAACUCAAAGGAAUUGACGGGGGCCCGCACAAGCGGAGGAACAUGUGGUUUAAUUCGAUGAUACGCGAGGAACCUUACCCGGGCUUGAAAGUUAGCGACGGAUCCUGAAAGGGGUCUUCUCUUCGGAGCGCGAAACUAGGUGCUGCAUGGUUGUCGUCAGCUCGUGUCGUGAGAUGUUGGGUUAAGUCCCGCAACGAGCGCAACCCUUGUGAUAUGUUACUAACAUUGAGUUGAGGACUCAUAUCAGACUGCCGGUGAUAAACCGGAGGAAGGUGGGGAUGACGUCAAAUCAUCAUGCCCCUUAUGACCAGGGCUACACACGUGCUACAAUGGCGUAAACAAAGAGAAGCGAAGUCGUGAGGCAGAGCGAAUCUCAAAAAUAACGUCUCAGUUCGGAUUGUAGUCUGCAACUCGACUACAUGAAGCUGGAAUCGCUAGUAAUCGCGAAUCAGCCAUGGCGCGGUGAAUACGUUCCCGGGCCUUGUACACACCGCCCGUCAAGCCAUGGGAGUUGGGGGUGCCUGAAGUACGUGACCGCAAGGAGCGUCCUAGGGCAAAACCGAUGACUGGGGCU
rnacentral:rRNA from 1 species